rnacentral:rRNA from 1 species
CUGCCAGAGGCUACUGCUAUCGGGGUCCGACUAAGCCAUGCGAGUUGAGAGGGGUAAGCCCUCGGCAUAUUGCUCAGUAACACGCGGAUAACCUGCCCUUGGGUUCGGGAUAACCCCGGGAAACUGGGACUAAUACCGGAUAGAUCAAAGAAACUGGAAUGUUCUCUGGUUAAAAACUCCGGUGCCCAAGGAUGGGUCUGCGGCCUAUCAGGUAGUAGUGGGUGUAACGUACCUACUAGCCUACGACGGGUAAGGGUUGUGAGAGCAAGAGCCCUGAGAUGGAUUCUGAGACAUGAAUCCAGGCCCUACGGGGUGCAGCAGGCGCGAAAACUUUACACUGCGGGAAACCGCGAUAAGGGGACCCCGAGUGCCAGCACCUAGUGCUGGCUGUCCAGCUGUCCAAAUAACAGUUGUUAGCAAGGGCCGGGCAAGACCGGUGCCAGCCGCCGCGGUAACACCGGCGGCCCGAGUGGUAGCCGUUAUUAUUGGGUUUAAAGGGUCCGUAGCCGGCCUAUUAAGUCUCUUGGGAAAUCUGGCGACUCAAUCGUCAGGCGUCCAAGAGAUACUGGUAGGCUUGGGACCGGGAGAGGUGGGAGGUACUCCAGGGGUAGGGGUGAAAUCUCGUAAUCCUUGGGGGACCACCGAUGGCGAAGGCAUCCCACCAGAACGGGUCCGACGGUGAGGGACGAAAGCUGGGGGCACGAACCGGAUUAGAUACCCGGGUAGUCCCAGCCGUAAACGAUGCUCGCUAGGUGUCAGAUGCGGUGCGACCGCAUUUGGUGCCGCAGUGAAAACUUGAAGCGAGUCACCUGGGAAGUACGGUCGCAAGGCUGAAACUUAAAGGAAUUGGCGGGGGAGCACUACAACGGGUGGAGCCUGCGGUUCAAUUGGAUUCAACGCCCGGGAUC